AUGAGCAGAGGAUGGGAGCAUGGACAGACACAUGAAGGCCUGUUGGUGAAGUUGCAAAGGCAAAGAACCUGGCCAGUACUAUCACCUUGUGAACUAAAUCUUUAACCUCUGACAUCAGUGGAAGAACUUUUUUCACUUACUCUUUGAAGCCCUAAUGCCAAUAUCCUUGUUGUAGGUUAAGAAGGAAGUGAGUUUUUUGGGAGGUUGUGGUCAAACCAGUCAGUGCUUGGAUUUGAACACUGGCACCUGGUUUGGCCACUGAAGCUUGAGUUUCUCAGCAAGUCUUACACCAUCUCUCUUACUUCAGAUAAAUAUGUUGUGCUAUUUAUUGAGCAAUGGAGCCCCACACAAACCUCAGCUGCUAUUGCCAGUUUCAAGGGGAAAAAAGAUAUUGCUACUGUUGCUACUGACAAAAGUGGCUGAUGACACCAAGGUUGAGGCAUGAGGAAGAGGAAGAUAGAUGGUGGAGGAUGUUGUUGGCUGAUAUAUAACUGAUUGAAAAAUAAAAGUAACUGAAGCUACUAAGGAAAAUGUCUUCUGGUGAAAGCAAGAGAAAAAAAAAAACCCAAGGAGAAGAGAAAAAAGAAAAAGUGUGGUUCUAACUUUGGACAGUUAGAACC